GGAACUGUAGCUCAGUUGGUAGAGCACCUGGUUGAAGCCCAGGGUGUCGUUGGUCCGAUUCCAGCCGGUUCCACCA
rnacentral:tRNA from 1 species